rnacentral:snRNA from 1 species
UGGAGAGACAACAUAGUGCAUCCCUCCUGAAGCUGCACGCUCGGUCAAAGAGGACGGCCUUCCCCGAAAAGAGACAGACUGGUCUUCAGUCAAAGGGUAGUUGUGCUCCCCUGCUAGAACCUCCAAACAAGCUUUCAAGAAAUCCUGGGUUAAACUCCAUAAAUUAAAUAUCAGUGUUUUUUAGGCUUCGACCUAAUAUG